rnacentral:rRNA from 1 species
GACGAACGCUGGCGGCGUGCUUAACACAUGCAAGUCGAACGGAAAGGCCCCCACCUUGGUGGGGGUGCUCGAGUGGCGCACGGGUGAGUAACACGUGGGUGAUCUGCCCUGUACUUCGGGAUAAGCUUGGGAAACUGGGUCUAAUACCGGAUAGGACCAUGGUUUAGUGUCUCAUGGUGGAAAAAUUAUUGUUUUGGUGCAGGAUGAGCUCUCGGCCUAUCAGCUUGUUGGUGGGGUAAUGGCCUACCAAGGCGUCGACGGGUAGGCGGCCUGAGAGGGUGGACGGCCGCAUUGGGACUGAGAUACGGCCCAGACGCCUACGGGAGGCAGCAGUGGGGAAUAUGGAACAAUGGGCGCAAGCCUGAUGCAGCGACGCCGCGGGGGGGAUGACGGGCUUGGGGUUGUAAACUCCUUUCGUUAGGGAGGAAGCCACACCUUUUUUGGGUGUGGUGACGGUACCUUUGUUAAGAAGCACCGGCUAACUACG